rnacentral:rRNA from 1 species
UGUUGGGUUAAGUCCCGCAACGAGCGCAACCCCUAUCUUAUGUUGCCAGCACGUUAUGGUGGGGACUCGUAAGAGACUGCCGGGGUCAACUCGGAGGAAGGUGGGGACGACGUCAAGUCAUCAUGCCCCUUAUGUCCAGGGCUUCACACAUGCUACAAUGGCCAGUACAGAGGGCUGCGAGACCGUGAGGUGGAGCGAAUCCCUUAAAGCUGGUCUCAGUUCGGAUCGGGGUCUGCAACUCGACCCCGUGAAGUCGGAGUCGCUAGUAAUCGCAGAUCAGCAACGCUGCGGUGAAUACGUUCCCGGGUC